UAUUCUCUAUUCGUCCCUGCCAUCGUCAAAGAGUUUGACAAGGCGAAGGUUCCUCAAGGAGGUCGCCCUUGAAUUUUGUGCUCCCCUUGUAAGUCAUUGGUAUUACAUGUUAACCAUCUUGUCCAAGACCCUUCGUGUGCUGAUGGUGAAUAUGUUCAGGCUGGCUGAACGGGAACACAGACCUCCUCCUGCCGUUGGCCAUGUCAAACUGCCCAAGCAUGUUCGCUGCCCAUCUAGGGAAGACCACAAGACAAACACGGCAUGUUUACGGUCCAACGGGCCCGUCUGCCUGCAGCAUCAAACUGCCUUGUGUCCAAAGUGCGUCUCUACUAUAUAGUAUGUAGCAAAUUUGGCCAUUGCAUUUUGCAGACAUACCAGAAAGGUCGUAGAUUGUGGCCAUCGGUGUAGGUGUCGACUGCGGCCAUUUUGUUGGCAUAUCCGAAAGCUCGUUUCAAUACUGUAAUGGACUUUUCUCUGCAGGAGUGAUGUGAGACAGUCUGUCCCUGAUAAGCGUGGGUUGACUAAAGACAUAAUCUAUAUACUGUGAUUGAGGUUUGAUAUAAUUCAUGCUAUUGAAUGAGACAUAGUAUACAAUUGAUGUACGAGUCAACUUUCCUGUAAUGAUGCUUUGAGUUAACCAAUUUGAAAAGAAAGACUUUUCUCUAUUCCCACUUAAAUGCUUGAGUGAGGUAGUGGUUAUACAUAUACCUACAGUAUAAGUAUGUGCUAAGUUAUGAUGAUGACAAAAAAAAUAAUAAAGUAAAAAUAAAACGAAUUGAGUAAAUAUUCCUUAAGUGAUUUGUUAAAUCAUCUGGAUUAAAGAUUUGUGUUUUUUUAUAUAAUGCUAAUUGUAUGUACUACUUUGUUGUGUUAAUGGCCAAGACAAAAGUUAUUUAUGUGAAUUGAUGAGUGUUUUUUGUUGUUUACGUGAUUUGAUGACUGUCUUUUUGUUUAUGUGAAUUGAUGAGUGUUGAGAUGUCUACAUACAUCUAUUAGU